rnacentral:rRNA from 1 species
UACGUAGGGUGCAGGCGUUAAUCGGAAUUACUGGGCGUAAAGCGUGCGUAGACGGUUAUGUAAGUCGGGUGUGAAAGCCCCGGGCUCAACCUGGGAAUUGCAUUCGAGACUGCAUAGCUAGGGUGCGGAAGAGGGAAGCGGAAUUUCCGGUGUAGCGGUGAAAUGCGUAGAUAUCGGAAGGAACACCAGUGGCGAAAGCGGCUUCCUGGUCCAGCACCGACGUUCAGGCACGAAAGCGUGGGGAGCAAACAGG